GCUUGUCUCAAAGAUUAAGCCAUGCAUGUCUAAGUGUAAAUACGUCUACACUGUGAAACUGCGAAUGGCUCAUUAAAUCAGUUAUCGUUUAUUUGAUGAUCUCUUGUUACAUGGAUAACCGUGGUAAUUCUAGAGCUAAUACAUGCUAUCAAGCCCGACUUCUUGAAGGGUUGUAUUUAUUAGACUUAAGCCAAUAUUCCUUGUGUCUAUUGCGAUGAUUCAUAAUAACUGAUCGAAUCUCAAAUUUGAGAUAAAUCAUUCAAGUUUCUGCCCUAUCAGCUUUCGAUGGUAGUGUAUUGGACUACCAUGGCAGUAACGGGUAACGAAGAAUUAGGGUUCGAUUUCGGAGAGGGAGCAUGAGAAACGGCUACCACAUCUAAGGAAGGCAGCAGG
rnacentral:rRNA from 1 species